rnacentral:rRNA from 1 species
GGCGAACGCUGGCGGCGUGCCUAAUACAUGCAAGUUGAGCGCUGAAGGUUGGUACUUGUACCAACUGGAUGAGCAGCGAACGGGUGAGUAACGCGUGGGGAAUCUGCCUUUGAGCGGGGGACAACAUUUGGAAACGAAUGCUAAUACCGCAUAAAAACUUUAAACACAAGUUUUAAGUUUGAAAGAUGCAAUUGCAUCACUCAAAGAUGAUCCCGCGUUGUAUUAGCUAGUUGGUGAGGUAAAGGCUCACCAAGGCGAUGAUACAUAGCCGACCUGAGAGGGUGAUCGGCCACAUUGGGACUGAGACACGGCCCAAACGCCUACGGGAGGCAGCAGUAGGGAAUCUUCGGCAAUGGACGAAAGUCUGACCGAGCAACGCCGCGUGAGUGAAGAAGGUUGUCGGAUCGUAAAACUCUGUUGGUAGAGAAGAACGUUGGUGAGAGUGGAAAGCUCAUCAAGUGACGGUAACUACCCAGAAAGGGACGGCUAACUACGUG